rnacentral:rRNA from 1 species
UGGGGAAUUUUGGACAAUGGGCGCAAGCCUGAUCCAGCCAUGCCGCGUGCAGGAAGAAGGCCUUCGGGUUGUAAACUGCUUUUGUCAGGGAAGAAAUCCUUUGGGCUAAUACCCCGGAGGGAUGACGGCACCUGAAGAAUAAGCACCGGCUAACUACGUGCCAGCAGCCGCGGUAAUACGUAGGGUGCGAGCGUUAAUCGGAAUUACUGGGCGUAAAGCGUGCGCAGGCGGCUUUGCAAGACAGAUGUGAAAUCCCCGGGCUCAACCUGGGAACUGCAUUUGUGACUGCAAGGCUAGAGUGCGGCAGAGGGAGAUGGAAUUCCGCGUGUAGCAGUGAAAUGCGUAGAUAUGCGGAGGAACACCGAUGGCGAAGGCAAUCUCCUGGGCCUGCACUGACGCUCAUGCACGAAAGCGUGGGGAGCAAACAGGAUUAAUACCCUGGUAGUCCACGCCCUAAACGAUGUCAACUGGUUGUUGGACGGCUUGCUGUUCAGUAACGAAGCUAACGCGUGAAGUUGACCGCCUGGGGAGUACGGCCGCAAGGUUGAAACUUAAAUGAAUUGACGGGGUCAUAGCUGUUUCCU